rnacentral:rRNA from 1 species
GUGAGGCGAGUAUCCUAAGGCCAGCGAGCGAACUGUUGUUAAGGAACUCGGCAAAAGGACGCCGUAUCUUAGGGAUAAGGGGUUCCACCAUCAGGUGGCCGCAGAGAAUAGGCCCAAGAGACUGUUUACCAAAAACAUAGGUUUCUGCUAAGUCGCAAGACGAGGUAUAGGAGCUGACGCCUGCCCGGUGCUGGAAGGUUAAGGGAAUCUGUUAGAGCAAUCGAAGCAGUGAACUUAAGCCCCAGUAAACGGCGGCCGUAACUAUAACGGACCUAAGGUAGCGAAAUUCCUUGUCGGGUAAGUUCCGACCCGCACGAAAGGCGUACCGAUUUGGGCACUGUCUCAACAACCGACUCGGUGAAAUUGUAAUUCCGGUGAAGCUGCCGGAUACCUGCGACAGGACGGAAAGACCCCAUGGAGCUUUCCUGUAGCUUUACCUUGGGUCUUGGUACUCCAUGUCCCGUCUAGGUGGGAGGCUUUGAAACCAGGACGCCAGGUUUGGCGGAGC